GAGAAGUUGUCCCUCGUGAGCAUCUGCACAAACGAGGAUUUAUCUAACGGGACGCCAUGCGCCAGCUGUUUUCUCAAAUUGAGUUGGACUAAUUUUUCUCACAGAGCUGCAGCUCAGGAGGAUGAAAUGCCACCAUCCGGCCCGCUGACCCAGUGUCGGGCCAAAGCCUGGUACUUUUCCAUCAGGCAGCUGAACAAAUGGAAAGGGCCUCUGAGCUGCCAGUCUUAUCAAGAGGAAUCUUUUUUUUUUCCGUCCCUCCUACUUCUCCUUGAGCUUUUGUCCGCAACAUUAAAGGAGGGGCCGUGGGGGACCGAAAAAAGUCAGAGUGCAAGAAUGUUAUUGUUUCCGGAGCUGCAGAUGACACGCUUCUUAGCAAGAGAGGGAGGAUCUGCCGAGCUGAGGGGACCAACACUUUGUCUGAACGACAGCCACCUGCGUCGGCCCCGCCACUUUCCUGUCAAGAUUAUAUUUUUGGAUUUGACCUUUGACCUUUUAAACUGAGCAAAAACUUGAGAUGACGAAGCAGAAAACUGAUGAGGGAAUAAAAGCAGGAAUUCUGAAAAGGUUAGCACAAAAUCAAAGCCGUCCAUACGUAUGAUCGUGUUACAACUGAGAGUUUCACCCAAGGACAGGCUUCGUGUCCUCUAUCUGUGGAAUGUGAACUCUGUGACCUCCACCCAACUACACCUUUCCCCUGUAUCUAUGUGUGUGUGUGUGUGUGUGUGUGUGUGUGUGUGUGUUACAUACAUGCAGUGUCGAUAGAAUGACAUAUGACAUGCACGGCCCUUUUCACCUCCCACAGUUGUCACCGCGAGCACACGUGUGUCAACAUGGCAGCGAAAAAGAUCCCUGAGAGGAAGGCCCACACGCACACACACACAGGCACACACACAUCUUAACAAACAAGCUCAAAAACACACACCUAUACAUACAAAGCACACAGCUACACAAACAUGAAAAACAUCCAAGAGCACCGACAGACAGAGGGGGAAGCAGAGCGAAAGAUAAAACGACCGUCAGUGAAAAUUAUGUCAAAAACAAGUCCUGAAAAUGCAAAUUAGAAACUUCAGAAUAACUUUGGAUAAAUCGCUGUCGUUUAGGUGUUGUUAGUUGCAUCGUUAAUCAGGUUGCUACGGUUGCUCUGAAGGUCAAUUGCAAGUGAAAAAAAAAAAUCAUAAACCACAAAAAUAGUUCACUAUUUAUUUCUUGCAUUUGACAUGAUCAGGCGUUAAGUGUCUGCUUUUUUUUUGUUUUGGCUAAGAUACUUCUACUGACAGGAAAUGAUGUCCGUUGUGUCCUUGGGCAAGACACUUAACCCACCUUGCUCCCAGUGUGUGUCCUCCACUGGUGCAUGAUUGUGAGUGUUGUGUGGUGGUGGUCGGAGAGGCCGUAGGCGCAGAAUGGCAGCCACGUUUCCACCACCACCAAAGUGUGACUGUGUGAGCGAAUGAAUGAUGUAUCCAAUGUAAAGCGCUUUGAGGGUCUCUGAUAAAAGCGCUAUAUGAAAUCUGAUGCAUUAUUAUUAUUAUUAUACCUGUUACGCUUGAGUGUAGUCCAAUCACAAUCAAGUAGGAGGGUCCAACCCUUGCCACUUUAAGAGACGUUCUCUGUAGCUAAAUAUUUCCCCAUCAGAUGGUAUUUUUUAUUCAUUUUUUUUCUAAAUUAUUUUUGUUAUUAAAAUGCAUCUUUUAUUUAAUCAUUAUAUAAUUUAUUGAUGCUCUGUAAAUAUAUUUUUUGCAUUUCAUAAAUAUCUUUUUAAAUUUAUAAAUUUUUUUUGGUCAUUCCUUCCUUCACAAUUGGUGCCGUUGACCUUCAGGGCCACCGUAGAGUUUAAUACAGCCCCAUUUUCCAGAAAGUUAGGAUGUAGUUUUUAAUGUUGGCAGAAAUAGAUUUGACUGGUUUGUAAAUCAUUUAAACUUUAUUUAUCGCUGAAUAUAAUGAGACAGCUCUUUAAAAACUGAGAGAAAUGUUUUACUUUUAGUUUUAUGUAAAAUGUAUUCAUCGCCAAACAAAGUGAAACCCGAACAACAAGUAUGAUCCAUAACACUGGCGAGCUCUCUCUCUCUGCGGCUGAACCCUUUCAGGCUCGGCUGGUGAAGUGGAAAACCGUCCUGUGACGUCCUCUUUGGAAAUCAUGGACACAGAAUCCUCCACUAAAAUGAGAAGAGGGACCACCCAGCUAGUUAUGAGCACAACUGUGAUGGUUUUGGGAUGCAGAAGAUCCAACAGCAUGGCUAUUCUCCAGACAGAGAAGGCUUCACUAAUGCUGAUCUGUAGAUUAAGGUUUUUGAGCAACAUUCGCGUCCAGCAAGACAAUACCAAGACCACAUACAUUCUACCCGCCUCACAACAGUAUGUCUUAAUGGAUAGAAGAGUUCAGACGCCCAUUUUUAUAUUCAGAUGAUUGUAAACAUACUUAUGGAUAUUGUUCUCCAUUUCCACCAAGUCUGAUCUGCAAAAUACCACAAAUAUCACACAAGCAAGAUAGUAAAACCUAAUUUUUCCACCAGAGUGCGCUGCUGUUCUAAAAAGGGAAUAAAGGAUGCACUGAAUUCUUGCAUUGAGUGGUUGAGUGGAAGUAAAAAAUCUUACUUUGUCGUUUUAAAUCACAUAUGCAUGAAAUUUGUGUAGAUUGUCCUUAAACACAUUGGAAAGUAAUAAAAUAAGAUCUGAGUGCUUGUUGUGUCUAAUGUUUACGGAGGAGGAUUAGGGCCACCAAAAAAAAAAAAAAAAAAAGUCCA